AAGUCGUAACAAGGUCUCCGUUGGUGAACCAGCGGAGGGAUCAUUAACGAGUUGCAAAACUCCAACCAUCGCGAAUGUAACCCAUUGCAGUUGCUUCGGCGGGUGGCUCUGAGAGGGGCCACGCUCCCUUACGGGGGGCAUGCCCGCCGGAGUCGUACAAACUCUUGUAUUUGUUGGCAUCUCUGAGUAACUUUACAAUAAGUUAAAACUUUCAACAACGGAUCUCUUGGUUCUG
rnacentral:misc_RNA from 1 species